rnacentral:lncRNA from 1 species
AAGAAGAUCAAGCAAGCUGAGUCACAAGCAUCCGCUCAAACUCCAUGUGUUGGGGGAAAUUUCUCGCCAGGGACCAGGCCCAUAUUUGAUUUUUGAUGGUAUCAUGGCUCGAGAUUUCUUUCAGGAGGGCAUCAUGCGGAGAAAUGCUGGACCCUAUGUCAGAGAGGUAUUUCUUGGACCACAUCGUUUCUUUCAAGGUGGGACCCUAGCACCCCAUGUAGCCCAUAGAAGUUAAGUUUGGCUCCUUUCCCUCUCUCUGGAUCUGAUGGGGCUCUGCCUGCUGUGGGAGGUCUGGACCUAUCGCUGGGAGCAGCAGGGGUAUGCUAUCCUGCUUUUCGUGGACCCGUGGAAGGCACAACAAAUUGUAUGAGAGGUGGGAAUGGGUUGAUUCCUCAGUUCUCUUUCCCAUUCUAUUCGGAAAGGGGGAUUAGUCAGUUGUAGAACUGAAAUGUAUCUUCCACAUUUAAUCAGAGAGGUGUGGGGGGCUGCCUUAAAUCGACAUCCACGUCUUUGGCGCCCGGGGAAC